UCGAACGGAAAGGCCUUUUCGGAGGUACUCGAGUGGCGAACGGGUGAGUAACACGUGGGUGAUCUGCCCUGCACUCUGGGAUAAGCCUGGGAAACUGGGUCUAAUACCGGAUAGGACCGCACUUUAGUGUGUGUGGUGGAAAGUUUUUUCGGUGUAGGAUGAGCCCGCGGCCUAUCAGCUUGUUGGUGGGGUAAUGGCCUACCAAGGCGGCGACGGGCAGCCGGACUGAGAGGUUGGUCGGCCACAUUGGGACUGAGAUACGGCCCAGACUCCUACGGGAGGCAGCAGUGGGGAAUAUUGCACAAUGGGCGCAAGCCUGAUGCAGCGACGCCGCGUGGGGGAUGACGGCCUUCGGGUUGUAAACUCCUUUCGCCAGGGACGAAGCGUUUUGUGACGGUACCUGGAGAAGAAGCACCGGCUAACUACGUGCCAGCAGCCGCGGUAAUACGUAGGGUGCAAGCGUUGUCCGGAAUUACUGGGCGUAAAGAGCUCGUAGGUGGUUUGUCACGUCGUCUGUGAAAUUCCACAGCUUAACUGUGGGCGUGCAGGCGAUACGGGCUGACUUGAGUACUGUAGGGGUAACUGGAAUUCCUGGUGUAGCGGUGAAAUGCGCAGAUAUCAGGAGGACACCGAUGGCGAAGGCAGGUUACUGGGCAGUUACUGACGCUGAGGAG
rnacentral:rRNA from 1 species